rnacentral:tRNA from 2 species
AAUAAAGUGCCUGAUUAAAGGAUUAUUCUGAUAGGAUAAAUUAAGUAAUUCAAAUUACCUUUAUUA